AACAAUCAAUAGGCAGAAAGCAAGAUAGAGGCUUCCUCAGUUUUUGGAUCGACAAUCGACAGCUGGGAGACUAUUUUUUGCUAUGGUUGACUAAAUAUGGUCAGGGAAGAGAGAGGCACAAGAGAGCCUGUUUGCCUGGGAGUGCAUGUUUCAAAUGCUUAGCUGCCUAUAAAGCUGUAACAGUUUAGCCUGUAGCCACUGAGGGAAGAAUUUAAGUUAACCUCUGUAGUGACCAUGUGGAAAUCCUGACCUUGCUUGCAGACUUGACCUCUGGAUAUGACAAGGUGAGAUUCUGUGUUCACUGAUAAUUCCCUCUGACUUCACCGACUCAUGAAAAGAAGUGCUGAAUCAGCGGAUAGAGUGAAGGAACAAUCAAGAUGAGAUGGCUGCUGCUGAUGUGACUCUCGAGGUCAUUAUCUUUCUUCCUGCUGCAAAUGCUGCAUGACACUAAGCUCACAGGAUCUAGAAGUACACUACAAAAUAAGAAGAAUUUCACUCUGAAGACUCUGAAGAAAUACUAGGCUGAUUGUAUAAAUUUCUGAAACAUACUCUGUAAAAACUCCACUGGUUCUAUAAAGCUAUUGCAAAAAGGACCAAGCCAGGAUAAAGUACAACAGAUAACUGGUCAGUGUUUAGAAGUGUAUGUCCACCAACAAGGAACCAUAAAUGGCAUUAAUGCAAUGCUUCAGGUAAAUUUUUUAUGAUGUUUAGUCUUUGAUUGUUUCUACAAAUGAUCUACCAUUGUUCUACAUCAGUAAGCGGAACGUUUUACUAAUAAACGGGAAAAUAAAACAAUUCAUGUUUUUACAGCUAACAACUUUGUAAUACCUACUCAGAGUACAUACUUCUUUAUGUACCCAUAUGAACAUACAAUGCUAUGGAAUGUAAAGAAGUAUGUAUUUUUGGUAGGCACUAAAACGCCAAGAGGAAAAUAAACUGCAGCUAAAAGAAGCCCUUGCUUCUUUCUGUGUGAAUGACCUUCAUAUGGUAUAGUAACCUAGAAUCAAAGAGAUGACCUUUGGGAAUAAUAACAUAAAAUGUACCUACUGCUUAUAGAUGAAAACUAAAUGUCACUAAGAUUUAUAUUUUUGAAGAAAAAAAAAAAAAACUACUGAAAUAGAUUUAAAAUGAUCAUAAAAUUCCUUUCAAAUCUUUUACAUUUAAAACACAAUACAUUUUUAAAUCUAGUAUUCACAUGAUUAAUAUAUUCUUUUACAUGAAUAUUUGAACACGAGAAAAAAGUAUUACUAGCACAAAAGAAUGUGAUACACACAUGACCUAUUUUCUGUUUCCACAAUUUGAUCUUAAUUUAAGUAUAUCACAUUAAUAGGGCUGACUGAUUUAUUAAGAAAAGAUACAACAAAAGAUGAUUUCAUUUACAUUUUAACAACUAUUCAUAUUUUUAUAAAUUUAUAAUUUAAUAAUAUUAGAGAAUUUUUUGAAGCAAGCUUUUGCUUUAGAUUUUCUUUUUUGAAAACUAAACAUAGUCAUAAUUUUAAAAGACUAUAUUUUAAGUAAAAUCAUACUCUUAAAGGAAAAAAGUUGCCCUUAUCUUUCUCAAGUUUAUCAUGUCUUUAUGCUAAGUUAGUACUUAGAAUAAAUUAAAAUGUAAGAUUUAUGCAAGAAAAAUGACUAAAUUCUGGGUUACAGCUACAAGUCAACAGAGCACAUUGGUAACAGACUGCCAAAUAUUUAAAAUAAAUUAAUUUAUUAUCUAUAUUAUCCUUGAACUUAUUUUACCCAAAGGAGAUACUCAAAAUAAAAAUACUAUAGUCAAAAAAACAAUUUAUACAGAUAGAA